rnacentral:rRNA from 1 species
AUUGAACGCUGGCGGCAUGCCUUACACAUGCAAGUCGAACGGCAGCACGGGGGCAACCCUGGUGGCGAGUGGCGAACGGGUGAGUAACAUAUCGGAACAUACCCUAGAGUGGGGGAUAACGUAGCGAAAGUUACGCUAAUACCGCAUACGAUCUAAGGAUGAAAGUGGGGGGAUCUUCGGACCUCAUGCUCAUGGAGUGGCCGAUAUCUGAUUAGCUAGUUGGUGAGGUAAAGGCUCACCAAGGCGACGAUCAGUAGCUGGUUUGAGAGAACGACCAGCCACACUGGAACUGGGACACGGUCCAGACUCCUACGGGAGGCAGCAGUGGGGAAUUUUGGACAAUGGGGGCAAGCCUGAUCCAGCAAUGCCGCGUGAGUGAAGAAGGCC